CGGAUAACACUCUGUCCCGCAUGGGACGGGGUUAAAAGCUCCGGCGGUGAAGGAUGAGCCCGCGGCCUAUCAGCUUGUUGGUGGGGUGAUGGCCUACCAAGGCGACGACGGGUAGCCGGCCUGAGAGGGCGACCGGCCACACUGGGACUGAGACACGGCCCAGACUCCUACGGGAGGCAGCAGUGGGGAAUAUUGCACAAUGGGCGAAAGCCUGAUGCAGCGACGCCGCGUGAGGGAUGACGGCCUUCGGGUUGUAAACCUCUUUCAGCAGGGAAGAAGCGAAAGUGACGGUACCUGCAGAAGAAGCGCCGGCUAACUACGUGCCAGCAGCCGCGGUAAUACGUAGGGCGCAAGCGUUGUCCGGAAUUAUUGGGCGUAAAGAGCUCGUAGGCGGCUUGUCACGUCGGAUGUGAAAGCCCGGGGCUUAACCCCGGGUCUGCAUUCGAUACGGGCUAGCUAGAGUGUGGUAGGGGAGAUCGGAAUUCCUGGUGUAGCGGUGAAAUGCGCAGAUAUCAGGAGGAACACCGGUGGCGAAGGCGGAUCUCUGGGCCAUUACUGACGCUGAGGAGCGAAAGCGUGGGGAGCGAACAGGAUUAGAUACCCUGGUAGUCCACGCCGUAAACGUUGGGAACUAGGUGUUGGCGACAUUCCACGUCGUCGGUGCCGCAGCUAACGCAUUAAGUUCCCCGCCUGGGGAGUACGGCCGCAAGGCUAAACUCAAAGGAAUUGACGGGGGCCCG
rnacentral:rRNA from 1 species